CCUACGGGAGGCUGCAGUGGGGGAUAUUGGACAAUGGGGGAAACCCUGAUCCAGCGACGCCGCGUGAGUGAAGAAGUAUUUCGGUAUGUAAAGCCCUGUCAGCAGGGAAGAAAGAAAUGACGGUACUCGACCAAGAAGCCCCGGCUAACUACGUGCCAGCAGCCGCGGGAAUACGUAGGCGGCAAGCGUUAUCCGGAAUUACUGGGUGUAAAGGGUGCGUAGGCGGGGAUGCAAGUCUGGAGUGAAAGGCGGGGGCCCAACCCCCGGACUGCUGUGGAAACUGGGUAACUUGAGUGCAGGAGAGGUAAGCGGAAUUCGUAGUGUAGCGGUGAAAUGCGUAGAUAUUAGGAAGAACACCGGUGGCGAAGGCGGCUUACUGGACUAUAACUGACGUUGAGGCUCGAAAGCGUGGGGAGCGAACAGGAUUAGAUACCCUUGUAGUC
rnacentral:rRNA from 1 species